UGAAUUGACGGGGAGCACUACGAACGGGUGGAGCCUGCGGUUUAAUUGGACUCAACGCCGGAAAACUCACCGGGGGCGACAGCAAUAUGUAGGUCAAGCUAAAGACUUUACCAGAAUCGCUGAGAGGAGGUGCAUGGCCGUCGUCAGUUCGUACUGUGAAGCAUCCUGUUAAGUCAGGCAACGAGCGAGACCCGUGCCCACUGUUGCCAGCAUGUCCUUCGGGAUGAUGGGUACUCUGUGGGACCGCCGAUGCUAAAUCGGAGGAAGGUGCGGGCUACGGUAGGUCAGUAUGCCCCGAAUCUCCCGGGCUACACGCGGGCUACAAUGACUGGGACAAUGGGCUCCUACCCCGAAAGGGGAUGGUAAUCUCAUAAACCCAGCCUUAGUUCGGAUCGAGGGCUGUAACCCGCCCUCGUGAAGCUGGAAUCCGUAGUAAUCGCGUUUCAACAUAGCGCGGUGAAUACGUCCCUGCUCCUU
rnacentral:rRNA from 1 species